rnacentral:lncRNA from 10 species
CAGAACUUUUAGGUGGAGACUUCCUUCCAAGACUCUGGCAAAACCUUCUCAAGUACACAUCUGAGAUGGUUAAAGUCAACACACUAUAAUUCUCCUGACAGCCAUGGACCUUAGGCGGCUGCGCCCAGAAAAACUUUUCCAAACCAGCGAGUCAAGGGAUUUUGAUGCUUGUCAUGAAAUUCUUCCAAGAGCAUCACUGACUUUCUAACUACCCCAGAAUUGAAUUAGAGUAAAAUGGAAAACAUUUAUUUCAAUAUCUACAGGAAGUGUUUACUUUGUACUUUAACAUUGAAUGGGCUUCUAGCUCCUGCUAAGCCACCACUACAAGAAUGAUAAAAUCAUUCUGUGAGAGAUGCAAAGUUUUACAUGGAAGCAAUGAAAUCAAGUUAUUUUCAAAAUCUCUUCUCCAGAGGAUUUCAAGUGGGGGGUUGGGGGAGAAGGGUCCAUAAACCCCUAUAGAGUCCUUAGAUAUAUUAGUCAAGAUUCUCCAGAGAAACCUUGGUUCUCCAGAGCCAAUAGGAUAGAUACAGAUUGAGAGAAAGAUAUAGAUAGAUAUAAAUAGAUUUAGAUUAUCUAUUUCUCUUUCUAUCUAUAUCUGUUUGUAUCUAUAUAUAUUUCUGUCUAUAUCUAUGCUAUUGGUUCUGUUUCUCAGUUCAGUCGUGUGUGCG